rnacentral:rRNA from 1 species
UACGGGGGGGGCAAGCGUUGUUCGGAAUCACUGGGCGUAAAGGGCUCGUAGGCGGCCAACUAAGUCCGACGUGAAAUCCCCAGGCUUAACCUGGGAACUGCGUCGGAUACUGGAUGGCUUGAAUUCGGGAGAGGGAUGCAGAAUUCCAGGUGUAGCGGUGAAAUGCGUAGAUAUCUGGAGGAAUACCGGUGGCGAAGGCGGCAUCCUGGACCGACAUUGACGCUGAUGAGCGAAAGCUAGGGGAGCAAACGGG